GGGCAGCCUAGCGACCGGCCGGGCCUUGCACCGACUGCCCCUCGAGUGCCUUCCCGGCCUCCGACCGGAGGUGGCCUUUCUUUAGGAAGUCGGAGAACCUGCCGCGCCCCUGACCCUCCCGGGGCCUCCGAGGAACGCGAGGCUCCGGCGGGAAAAGCGGCGCUGGGGAAGCGGCCUGAACUGGACUCCGUGGGUCUCUGGGGGGGGUCCCUCCAAGCGACUGACGCCCCACUGUGGGCUGUCUGUCCAUGUCCCCUCCGCAUCGCGAGCUGCAAAUCAGCGGGCACCAGCCAGGCGACUUCGCAAGAUAAAUCAAGGUAACCGCAAAGGGACGAUCUGGGACCCACGUCGGCGACCCGCCGCUUCCCAGGCCGGGUGAGUACCCCAGAGUCAGCUCUGGGGCGGACACUGGCCACGCGCAGGGGUUGAAGCCGGGCUUACUGUGGCCACGGGUAAGCUGCUGGACGGGGUCUGGUUCCGAAAGCUCACACUCGGUCACGACUCGCUCACACCACUACCUUGUUAUCUAGGAGGAAAACACCUACGGAUUCCAUGGUCAAGCUUACCUAACUGCUUGCCCUUGCAUCUAACCCUAGGAGAAGACCCACAGAUCCGCUCCAGGGCUCAGCAGCUCCUUCCCCCCACUCGGGGAGAAGAGCCUUUAUCCUUUUUUUUUUUUUUAAUUUUGUUUUAUUUAUUUAUUUAUUGGUACCAGGAAUUGAACCCAGAGAUGCUUAACUGCUGAGCUAUAUUCCCAGCCCCAGAAAUUCCCUUUUCUGUGUUUGAUUUUUUUCCCCACCGCUUGAGAUUUAUGUCCCUUCCAGCUGAUGCCCUGUCGCCACUGUCCUCUCGUUCAUCCAACCUGUCAGUCACACUACAUUUCAUUCUCUUGUAGGCAGUGAUCUUUCUUCCUUCUGUGUCUUUGCACAUUCUGUUCCUUGACCUAGAAUGCACUUCUUCUGUUGAAGUAGUCUUUCAAAAUCAGCUUCAAAUAUUGCAGGAGAGAGAGGUCCCUCACUCCAGGAGGGGGAUGGGUGAGGCAGCGGGUUCAAUUCUUGGUUCCUGGUUCUGUGCUUGCCCCUUAUUCAGCAUUUAUCCCUUGUUCCUCUGAAAAUCCUUCAGUCAUUUAACAUCACUUUACUAGGCACCUAAUGUGUGCCAGUGUGUGAAGCACAAAUAAGAGCCCCUUCCUGCAGCUGUCAGUCAGUGGCAGGGGUGGGUGGCAGCCAGAGGAUGGAUGCCUCAACAAUCAUCCCAGUGUUAGGCAUUACUUGUUAAUAUAGUCUUCUGAGGGCAGAGAACAUGUUUUAUACACCCCUAUAUUGCUGGUUAGUUGAAAUGAAUGAGAGAGCACUCGGCAGGUAAAAUAAUGGGCAGGAACAUUGGGUAACUUCACAGGAUGAAAUUAAAAAUAUCAAUAACUAUAUGAAAAGAUCCUGAAUCUCAUUACAUCAGGGAAAUGCUGGGUAAAGCUGCAGUGAGCUACUUCCUAUCCACUCAACAGGCACCAUUAACCACUGGAUCAGAACAGGUAGGAGCAAGGACAAAGAGCAGCUUGUCAACUGCAGGAAGCCAGUUUGCUUUUACCCAGGAAAGAUGUGAACAUACAUACACACUCCACAAUUCAGCCACUCCACUCCUACAGGAGGACACACAUACAAGAAGUCCGUAGAUGCACUAUUUGUAAUAGCCCCCAAACUUCUGGAAACAACUCAAAUGUUCAUCAAAGUAAAAUGGAUAAAUAAAUGGUGGUAUAUGCCUAUGAUGGAAUAUUGUAUAGCAACACAAGAGAAAUACUACAACUGCAAACAACAAGGUGGGUAAUUAUCUAAAUGAAAUUGAGAGGAGCCAUAUACACAUUAUAUAUGAUUUCAUUUAUGUAAAAUCCCCAAUCAGGCAAAACUAAACUAUGAUACGCCCUGCAUAAAGACAGGAUGGUUUACCUUUAAGGAGGAAAUAGGGGGUUUUGACUGGGAAGGAAUAUUCUGGGUGCUGGGGAUGUUCUAGUUCUUGAACGGGUAGUAGCUAGAUAAGUUUGCUUUCCAAUAAUUCAUUAAGUUAAACAUUUAUAUUUUAUUCACAUUUGGUGUGUACAUGAGUGUAUUUCACAAUUUUAAAAAGGUUAAGAAAGAACAAAUCUUCCUGCAGCGACUCCAGCCCAUUUCCCCAUGUUCUUUUCUCCACUGAAGCAACAUGAGUCAGGUCUUACCUCACUUCCUUGUCUUCUGGAUAAAUAAUCUCAAAGUCUUUAACCUUCUUCAGGAAUGAUCCAGAAGCGCUUCGGCUGCUUCCCAUCCCUUUUAGUCUAACAUAGUAUAGAGCGCUGAAGCUGAAAGGAGAAAUGUCUUUUCUAAAGACGGUCAGUUUGUGCCUGGAAAGAACUGCUGCUGUCAUUUAAUCUUAGCAGCUCAGGUAACUGCCAAGAGUCUUGUUCAUCUCCUCCUCCUCCUCAGUAAUUGUUUUAAUUCCCCCGGGGCUGGGAGGUGGUGACUGAAAUCUUUGUGCUGUUCUAUUGUAGAGAGAUGGAGCUGGAGGAGUUGGGUGAAGCUCUUUUAAAAAUUAACCAAAAGUAGGCUGGGGCUCAGCGGUAGAGCACUCCCCUAGCACGGGCGGGGCCCUGGGUUCCAUCCUCAGCAUCACAUAGAAAUAAGUAAAUAAAAUAAAGGUAUUGUGUCCAACUACAACUAUAUAUAAAAAUAAUGCCAGGCGAGCACGCUACCGCUUGAGCCACAUCCCCAGCCCCUUGGGGUUUUUUUAA
rnacentral:lncRNA from 1 species